AGAGUUUGAUCCUGGCUCAGAUUGAACGCUGGCGGAAGGCCUAACACAUGCAAGUCGAACGGUAACAGGAAGAAGCUUGCUUCUUUGCUGACGAGUGGCGGACGGGUGAGUAAUGUCUGGGAAACUGCCUGAUGGAGGGGGAUAACUACUGGAAACGGUAGCUAAUACCGCAUAACGUCGCAAGACCAAAGAGGGGGACCUUCGGGCCUCUUGCCAUCGGAUGUGCCCAGAUGGGAUUAGCUAGUAGGUGGGGUAACGGCUCACCUAGGCGACGAUCCCUAGCUGGUCUGAGAGGAUGACCAGCCACACUGGAACUGAGACACGGUCCAGACUCCUACGGGAGGCAGCAGUGGGGAAUAUUGCACAAUGGGCGCAAGCCUGAUGCAGCCUUGCCGCGUGUAUGAAGAAGGCCUUCGGGUUGUAAAGUACUUUCAGCAGGGAGGAAGGGAGUAAAGUUUAAUACCUUUGCUCAUUUGACGUUACCCGCAGAAGAAGCACCGGCUAACUCCCUGCC
rnacentral:rRNA from 1 species